AAGGGAGAACUGCGAGGAGC
rnacentral:siRNA from 1 species